rnacentral:rRNA from 1 species
UACGUAGGUGGCAAGCGUUGUCCGGAAUUAUUGGGCGUAAAGCGCGCGCAGGCGGUUCCUUAAGUCUGAUGUGAAAGUCCAAGGCUCAACCUUGAAAUUGCAUGUGAUACUGGCUAGCUUGAGUUCGGUAGAGGAGGGCGGAAUUCCUGGUGUAGCGGUGAAAUGCGUAGAUAUCAGGAGGAACACCUGUGGCGAAGGCGGCUCUCUGGUCCGAUACUGACGCUGAGGCGCGAAAGUUAGGGUAGCAAACAGGAUUAGAAACCCUUGUAGU